GUAACACGUGGAUAACCUACCUAUAAGACGUGGGAAUUAACUUCGGGAAACCGGAGCUAAUACCGGAUAAUAUAUUGAACCGCAUGGUUCAAUAGUGAAAGACGGUUUUGCUGUCACUUAUAGAUGGAUCCGCGCCGCAUUAGCUAGUUGGUAAGGUAACGGCUUACCAAGGCAACGAUGCGUAGCCGACCUGAGAGGGUGAUCGGCCACACUGGAACUGAGACACGGUCCAGACUCCUACGGGAGGCAGCAGCA
rnacentral:rRNA from 1 species